AUGAAGAAAGAUGCUGAAGUGGUUGUAUUAUCCUUCACCCCAUCUGUCCUAUAUCAUCAGAACAGAAAUGAAGAUUGGAGAGAAUUAAUAUUCCAUUGUUCAGUGGACAGAUUGACUGGGAGGAGAUGGAACGGUGGUCUGACAUAGAAUUGGAGGCAGCAUAAAAGGUUUAAUUCUUGUUUCAGUCCUGAGGGGGUAAGAUAUUUUCUUUGGUCUAUUUUUUUACAAUAAAGAAAAAAAACCUUUACUCA
rnacentral:lncRNA from 1 species